rnacentral:rRNA from 1 species
CAGCAGUGGGGAAUAUUGCACAAUGGGGGAAACCCUGAUGCAGCGACGCCGCGUGGAGGAAGAAGGUCUUCGGAUUGUAAACUCCUGUUGUUGAGGAAGAUAAUGACGGUACUCAACAAGGAAGUGACGGCUAACUACGUGCCAGCAGCCGCGGUAAAACGUAGGUCACAAGCGUUGUCCGGAAUUACUGGGUGUAAAGGGAGCGCAGGCGGGAAGACAAGUUGGAAGUGAAAUCUAUGGGCUCAACCCAUAAACUGCUUUCAAAACUGUUUUUCUUGAGUAGUGCAGAGGUAGGCGGAAUUCCCGGUGUAGCGGUGGAAUGCGUAGAUAUCGGGAGGAACACCAGUGGCGAAGGCGGCCUACUGGGCACCAACUGACGCUGAGGCUCGAAAGUGUGGGUAGCAAACAGGAUUAGAUACCCUGGUAGUCCACACCGUAAACGAUGAUUACUAGGUGUUGGAGGAUUGACCCCUUCAGUGCCGCAGUUAACACAAUAAGUAAUCCACCUGGGGAGUACGACCGCAAGGUUGAAACUCAAAGGAAUUGACGGGGGCCCGCACAAGCAGUGGAGUAUGUGGUUUAAUUCGAAGCAACGCGAAGAACCUUACCAGGUCUUGACAUCCGAUGCAUAGCACAGAGAUGUGUGAAAUCCUUCGGGACAUCGAGACAGGUGGUGCAUGGUUGUCGUCAGCUCGUGUCGUGAGAUGUUGGGUUAAGUCCCGCAACGAGCGCAACCCUUAUGGUCAGUUACUACGCAAGAGGACUCUGGCCAGACUGCCGUUGACAAAACGGAGGAAGGUGGGGAUGACGUCAAAUCAUCAUGCCCUUUAUGACCUGGGCUACACACGUACUACAAUGGCGUUUAACAAAGAGAAGCAAAGCCGCGAGGCAGAGCAAAUCUCCAAAAAACGUCUCAGUUCGGAUUGUAGGCUGCAACUCGCCUACAUGAAGUCGGAAUUGCUAGUAAUCGUAGGUCAGCAUACUACGGUGAAUACGUUCCCGGGCCUUGUACACACCGCCCGUCAAACCAUGAGAGUUGGCAACACCCGAAGUCGGUAGUCUAACCGCAAGGAGGACGCCGCCGAAGGUGGGGUUGAUGAUUAGGGUUAAGUCGUAACAAGGUAUCUGUAGGGGAACCUGCAGAUG